rnacentral:rRNA from 1 species
UACGUAGGGUGCGAGCGUUGUCCGGAUUUAUUGGGCGUAAAGAGCGUGUAGGCGGCCAUACAGGUCAGCUGUGAAAACUCGAGGCUCAACCUCGAGACGUCGGUUGAAACCGUAUGGCUAGAGUCCGGAAGAGGAGAGUGGAAUUCCCGGUGUAGCGGUGAAAUGCGCAGAUAUCGGGAAGAACACCUAUGGCGAAGGCAGCUCUCUGGGACGGUACUGACGCUGAGACGCGAAAGCGUGGGGAGCGAACAGG